AGAGCGAACGCUGGCGGCAGGCUUAACACAUGCAAGUCGAACGCGUGUAGCAAUACACGAGUGGCGCACGGGUGAGUAACGCGUGGGCAUCUGCCUCAUGGUUCGGAAUAACCCCGGGAAACUGGGGCUAAUACCGGAUGGUACCUUCGGGGAAAGAUUUAUUGCCGAAGGAACGGCCCGCGUCCGAUUAGCUAGUUGGUGAGGUAAUGGCUCACCAAGGCUACGAUCGGUAGCUGGUCUGAGAGGAUGACCAGCAUCACUGGGACUGAGACACGGCCCAGACUCCUACGGGAGGCAGCAGUGGGGAAUAUUGGACAAUGGGCGAAAGCCUGAUCCAGCCAUGCCGCGUGGAUGAUGAAGGCCUUAGGGUUGUAAAGUCCUUUUAACGGGGAAGAUAAUGACGGUACCCGUAGAAUAAGCCCCGGCUAACUUCGCGCCAGCAGCCGC
rnacentral:rRNA from 1 species